rnacentral:rRNA from 1 species
CAUGCAAGUCGAACGGAAAGGCCCUUUCGGGGGUACACGAGUGGCGAACGGGUGAGUAACACGUGGGUGAUCUGCCCUGCACUUUGGGAUAAGCCUGGGAAACUGGGUCUAAUACCGAAUACACCCUGCUGGUCGCAUGGCCUGGUGGGGGAAAGCUUUUGCGGUGUGGGAUGGGCCCGCGGCCUAUCAGCUUGUUGGUGGGGUGAUGGCCUACCAAGGCGACGACGGGUAGCCGGCCUGAGAGGGUGUCCGGCCACACUGGGACUGAGAUACGGCCCAGACUCCUACGGGAGGCAGCAGUGGGGAAUAUUGCACAAUGGGCGCAAGCCUGAUGCAGCGACGCCGCGUGAGGGAUGACGGCCUUCGGGUUGUAAACCUCUUUCAAUAGGGACGAAGCGCAAGUGACGGUACCUAGAGAAGAAGCACCGGCCAACUACGUGCCAGCAGCCGCGGUAAUACGUAGGGUGCGAGCGUUGUCCGGAAUUACUGGGCGUAAAGAGCUCGUAGGUGGUUUGUCGCGUUGUUCGUGAAAACUCACA